rnacentral:misc_RNA from 1 species
UUGUUGCAUGAGUGACAGCAGCUGUAUCUCCCGAUUUAGAAAAACAAGGUUUUUUACUCUUAGUUUUUAUUGAUUGGGAAUAUAGCGGAUAGCCCGACCCGCU